rnacentral:rRNA from 1 species
CCCUUAGAUGUUCUGGGCCGCACGCGCGCUACACUGACGGAGGCAGCGAGCAUGUCCUUCGCCGAGAGGUGUGGGGAAUCUUGUGAGUCUCCGUCGUGCUGGGGAUAGAUGGUUGCAAUUGUCGAUCUUGAACGAGGAAUUCCUAGUAAGCGCGAGUCAUCAGCUCGCGCUGAUUACGUCCCUGCCCUUUGUACACACCGCCCGUCGCUCCUACCGAUUGGGUGUGCGGGUGAAAUGUUCGGAUCGGCCGUUUGUCGCGGUUUCCGCGUCAUGUGGCUGAGAAGUUCAUUAAACCCUCCCACCUAGAGGAAGGAGAAGUCGUAACA